GUUCAGGAGUUCAAGCCCUGUGCCGGGCUCUGCGCUGGCAAAGUAGAACCUGCUUAGGAUUCUCUCCCCCCUCCCCUUUCUGCCCCUUCCUUGCUUGCUCUCCAAUCAAUCAAUCAGCUGUGCCAACAGGCAGGUGGUUUUCCCAAUAGUGUUGUAAAUUAGGGUCCUUAGGCAAGUGGCUCCUCUCUGGGCCCCAAGCCCUUUGCCAGAAGCCUGGGAGAUUAGACCCGGUGCUGCCUAAGGGUCCAUCCAGCUCCCACACUGCUUUCUAUAUAUGACCCUCGACGGUUCUUUCAGCAUCCUUCUCGUUAUUAGCUACACAAAGCCCAUCACUGCCCUUCUUUGAUGAAAGCGAGGCCCUACCAGGUUUCUUAAGUAGCCGGGCAAAGGCGGCCAAGCACCUGCCUCUUAGACGGUCUCGUUUGCAAUGCCUUUGCAAAGACCGUCUUCCAAAUCCCUUGCUAAAGCAUCAGGCCCCAAACUGCAAGGAGAGAGUCAAGUGUACUGUCCAUCAGUCCCGGCGAAUCUUCGAGGCCCAAGCAGUCGGGUCUCCCCCUGGUUGGGCGCAGCGACACGGCCUUGUGAGGCUCCCGAACGGAGAGGGAAGCAGAGGUGUUCGCAAGUGCCUCACCCCGGCCACCCCCCCCCCUUCCCACCAGCCCUCCUGUUGCACAGCAGUUAACAAGGCUCUGGGCUCCUCCACAAGCACGACAAGUGGGGGCAGGGCCCACUGUGGCUGCCCCAAUAAACAAAGUCACCCAGGGGACAACGGGCACACUCCCCCAGGAGACCGGGGACAAAUUCGCCGGGGGGACCAAGAACAAACUUGCCCAGGUGACAACUCGCCCAAGAGACCAGGGACACACUCGCCCAGGGACGAAGCCACGGCAGGAAGCAGUGCCGCCACCACGCGAGAGGAAAUGACGCGCAACGGGAAGCUCUUUUCGGCGCCUCGGGCCCUACCUUGUCACGUUUCCGCUGGUCGCGGGAUGAAACAGGGCUGCUCCGGGGCGACGGCCGCUCUUCCCGGGUGCCGCUCCGGGGUUUCUGGAAGCCGCCGAGGCUGAAGCUUCUGGAUUUCCCGCCUCUUCCGGCCUCGACGGCGAGAGCGCCGCCCCAGACCCCCGCCCGAGCUCUCGCCUGACCCCACGGCCGCAGUGACACGUGAUCACACGCGGCCGUCACUUCCGGUGGUUGAGGCGCGGGCCCGGCUCGCCCGGCUGCACGAGGUCCUCCAGGGGCGACCGUCGGCGGAGCCGUGCGCAGGUGCCGUCACCCGGAAGCUCGUCCCCCCCCCCACCCUGCAGCUUCCGCCCGCCACGCCCACAGCGGAGCCCUUUCCUGGGAAACGCGUGCCCGAGGCUCCACGCCCCGCACCUGACGCGACCCCGCUAAGACCUCUCCGGAAACUUUCCAGGUUCUGGCGGGCAGGUGCAGAGACUUGCUCAUCUUGUCGCGGCCCCAGGCGAGCCACGAAAGGGAGUUUCACCGUUCGUCCAACUUGCCACCUCACCGUGUGGAGUGGCCACCGCUUUCUUGGGUCUCUCCUUACCCACCCCCAUCCUCCGUGUACGGGGGACGGUUUCAGGUGUCUCCCAGGACACCUGAGUUCUCCGGAGCACAACAACCCAUGCGGUCAGAACCGCGCUCGACCCCGCUGUGUAAACAUGAUGAACCGUCCGAGAAGCGAAUUAGCCUGAUGUCACACAGCUGGGGUGAGAACCCAGGCGCUUCGGGGACCGAGCCUGCGCUGGUCGCUCCUCUGCUACACUGUGAGCCAGACCCCUCCACCCCCCAGCUUCCACGGCCUUCUCCCCGUGCAGCUUUCACCUGCAGGCUCCAGAGAAUCUACACCCAAUCCUGAUCUCCGGCAGAAGGCGGAAAAGCGAUGUAAGCGGCUUUGUGUAUCAGAACUGAGACACCCUUCUGGCUCUACCCUGACUGUGUACCCCAGAUGUACAGCGAAGCUCCAGAUAUGUUCCCCCCCGGUCUGAGCACCUUGUGGGAAAACUGCUGCCCUCCACCAAAUGGCUCUUCAUCCUGAGACCUCCGGAGACCACCUGUGAUCUAUUUCAUUCAACUACAACAUUAGCAAAAUUGUCAUUAAAAGCCUGUAUAAAGCCAGGCUUUCUUAAGCCUGGUUAAUCAAAAAAGUUCAAUCACUUGUCUGCCAUCCCACAUCUAGUAAGUAAAUGAAAUUAGCAUUUGA